rfam:Wickerhamomyces ciferrii, NRRL Y-1031 F-60-10, WGS project CAIF01000000 data, contig: 00127
CAAAAGGUUUUUUUCUGGAAACCACAUCAAACAAACAUUUAGGAAUAGU